GAUCGUAGUCAUAUGCUUGUCUCAAAGAUUAAGCCAUGCAUGUCUAAGUAUAAGCAAUUAUACAGCGAAACUGGGAAUGGCUCAUUAAAUCAGUUAUCGUUUAUUUGAUAGUACCUUACUACAUGGAUCACCGUGGUAAUUCUAGAGCUAAUACAUGCUAAAAAAACGGGGUUGGGAAGGGUUGUAUUUUUUAGAUUAAAAACCAAUUCCCUCGGGGCUCCCUGAGAUUCAUAAUAACUUCUAGAAUCGCGCGGCCUUGCCCCGGCGAUGGUUCAUUCAAAUUUUUGCCCUAUCACCUUUGGAGGUAAGGGUCUGGCCCAGCCAUGGUAGCAACGGGUAACGGAGGGUUAGGGCUCGACCCCGGAGAAGGAGCCUGAGAAACGGCUACUACAUCCAAGGAAGGCAGCAGGCGCGCAAAUUACCCAAUCCCGAUACGGGGAGGUAGUGACAAUAAAUACUGAUACAGGGCUCUUUUGGGUCUUGUAAUUGGAAUGAGUACAAUUCAAAUCCCUUAACGAGGAACAAUUGGAGGGCAAGUCUGGUGCCAGCAGCCAAU
rnacentral:rRNA from 1 species